rnacentral:rRNA from 1 species
UACGUAGGGGGCAAGCGUUAUCCGGAUUUACUGGGUGUAAAGGGAGCGUAGACGGCUGCGCAAGUCUGAAGUGAAAGCCCGGGGCUCAACCCCGGGACUGCUUUGGAAACUGUGUAGCUAGAGUGCUGGAGAGGCAAGCGGAAUUCCUAGUGUAGCGGUGAAAUGCGUAGAUAUUAGGAAGAACACCAGUGGCGAAGGCGGCUUGCUGGACAGUAACUGACGUUGAGGCUCGAAAGCGUGGGGAGCAAACAGU